AAAAAAAAGUUAUUUAUUGUUGUCUGUGGUGGGGAAAGAAAGCCGCCGUGGUUACGUGCAUUUACGACUCGGAGUGCCCCGUCGCCUUAGUUUUCAGUACUCUUGAGAUCGAAGAACGAUGCUUUCCUGUUUUAUUUCUAGCCAUCGCAGGGUAAAAGCCGCUGUUGUCAAUGAGAGGAAGAUCGGACGCGAGAUCCGCUCUGUUCUGUUCGUAGCGCGCGGCUGCAAGACCGCCCUGUGGGUCCUGGGUCCUUGAAGGAGAGCUACGUGCGGUCCCGUUCAGUUUAUAGGGAGUAAAGGAGAGGAGCCCGGAGGGGCCGCGUCCGUUCCCUUUGGGGUAAACCGACGGUUAUUGCCGAGGGAGCCGCCAGCUCGCCGCCCCCAGACCUGGCCGGGCCCGCACUCGGGGUAUUCUUCGGGGCUGCAGCAAAAGCACGCAGAGGGAGAGCGGGAGGAAAGUCUUCGGAGAGGUGGGAAGGCCGGCAGAGCGCUGCCCGGCGAGGGCUGCUCGAGGGGUGCCCCGGGCUGCGGCGGGAGGCAGAGGCGAAGUGCAUGGCCAGGCAAGCCCCGAUCGCGGGUUCUUCGGUGCAGUGAGACCACUGCACCAGCUGUUCCUCCUGUAUUUUACGUCGUGCAUGGACAGGGCCUCCCUCCAUCUAGAAGUCAGCAGGCAGGAGGAUUUGCUGAUCGUUCUAUAGAUUUAUUUUUCAAGCGCCGAGGAAGGGGUCUGGGAAAGGGGCUCCCCUCGCUGUUCCCCCCCGGUUCGCCGCAGCAGGUGCCGCCGCCACCCACUGUCGUGGAAGUGUCCCUCGGUGCCCCCUCAGCUGGGCAGUGGCCGGGGCCAAGCCGUUCCUCCGACACAGUCGGGCCUCGCAAACGCGGCGGUGGGACAGACACAGCGCUGUCGCCUCCUCCUCCUCCCAGCCACAAAGUAUGGGCUCAUUAACUCGUCUCCUUUUCUCAUCAUAUCUCCACGGGACUGAGAGACGAAUUGCUGGGGCUGAAUCGGGAGGGGAUUGCUCUAUAUGGGGGCGAAUGUUUCAAUCAGUUCCUCCUGAAGGACCACACAAAAAGAAUCUUUUUGGUUUAUGGUGCUAUUAUGCAGCGUUUUAAUCUAGGGAUAGAUUUAGCCAAAUGUUAUCUAUUGGGAAUUUAAUGAAGCCCUUAUGUAUUCAAUUGCGCUUUAUGCCACACACAGUGUCUCUAUCCAGAAACGUUUCCUUCCACAUAUUUCUUUGUUUCUGUUGGGUGAUUUAUAUAUUUUUAAUUAGUUUUUCUUUAAUUAUUUCAUCUCAGCCGUCUUGUACAACAUUCCUCCCAAGCAGGACUGCGUUAGGUCGCUUCCCACAUCCCCUAUACUUUUCCCCCGCCCUUCCCCGUUUGGGAGCUGAUGACUUUGCACGUCCGCACGCUGCGCCAGUCCCUCAGAGAGCUCCCUCCGGGGCCGACACAGCGACGGCUCCGACGGCACCCCUGUGGGCCCGGGGACAGGGCCAGGUGGUGUGUGGGGGUGGGUGUGCACGCCGCUUCCCAGCCUUGAAGCCGCCCCAUCCGCAGCUCCUUUGGGCCACAGGCUUGUCCCGGUCACUUUCCUGCCGCAGCGAGAGGCACCGUUGGCAGCGGGGGGUACUCUGGCUCACUCCACAUUCUUGCAGGAUGGAUUCAAGCAGCGCUGUCCCCGAGCUCAGGGACGAGGUGGGGCGGCGAUGGCCUCACCUGCUCUGUGCUGCUCCCUUCGCUGAGGUGCCGGUGUCAAAGCGGAGCGUGCACGGCCGCCCCCUCGGUGAAGGCCUGGGCGGGAGAUCUGUUGGAAAGCAGUUCUGGUUUAAUAGCUCCUUGGCACGGCCCGGAGACUCUGCUCUGUGUAUAAUACUUUCCUUCAUUACUCACAGUUAAGUACUUCAGUAGGCUCUGAUAAUAUUGUAUUUGACAGAAAUCGUGGAAAUUAUGAUCAUGGCCAAAUGCUCCCUGCGCAAGAACUUGCAAACCAAAGCAGAUCCGCUCCUCUGCUACCCCGGGCCUCAGAGAAGUGCCGUUCGCGUCCCAGCGGAGCUGCUCCCGGCAGGAGAGAACACCCGCCGCCCGGUCCGACUUUCCGCCGAGGUCCGGAUUCGAUCUAAAAGAGAGGAGAGGCAAAGCCCAGCGCCUGGAGAUGGGUAGCCCCGCGGCGAACCUUGCUGCGGCCCCCGGAUGGCUCCGACCCCGCGCACAGCGGAUGGCCGUCUUCUCCCCUGCGCAUCCAUGGCCAGCAGCGUGGAGGGGCGGAGAAGGGUUGGAGCUGGGCCUCGGCAUGCCCGGGAAGCAGAGCGAGUUAUAGACUGCAUUGUAAGCAUUAUCGAUUUUAUUUAAUGCGUGAUCUACACGAUUUUAGAAAUGAUACCACUAAAUUGAGUGGGACAAUCAUAAAGUAAAUGUGUUGUGUUUUUGGUUUUUUUUUCCAAACAAAAAUAAUUAAACUAGCCCUUUCUGCAAACCGCAA